GUUAGCAGCAAUGACCACAUCUGCAAAACCCAUAAAGAAUCCAACAAAGCGAAUCAUUUUCUAUGGCAGUAAACAGCUCCGCCUUAAAUAGCUCUGUUCAGCACAUCAGACCCAGCACUUCACUUCAGGCUGAGGCGAUGUGUGCAGACAAGACAGAAAGGCUUCUUUUCAGCGGUGUGUGAAACAGAAACCGCCUCCUGUGUGUCAGAAACAUGCAGGAGACUCUUUGUUCCAUAGCUCACCUUCUGAAACUCUUAACUGUAGAAUAACACCACGACUGCACGUGUAGGAGUACAGCUAGUGUCUUUUUGAUUUUUCACACCCUUGUGUGAAAAUCUGACAGCAACAGACUAAACUUCUUUUUGAGGAAACACCUGGAUGCAUGCACAGUUGUCACUAUUUACAGGUGUAAUGCAUCCUGCCAGCAGCUCCACCAGGCUCCACCUGCACAGGACUGUUGUGAUUCAGCCCCAUUGGAGUGAUUUCCAGCAGGAACGAUAGGGUCAAACGUUCUCCUUCAAGAUGUUUUUGCUAUGGAUCCAUCAUUUACAGCAAGUGGUCCAUGUUCUGAAGCAGCAGGGCAGCCCCAGAUCCUCACACACCAUCUUUUACUGGUAUGUUUUUCUGAAACAGUCAUAAUUUUACUCCAGAUGUAGACACACGCCUUCCAAAAAGAAAACAAACUAUUUUGUCUCAUCAGUAGAAAUAAUGUUUUCCCAAAAGUCACAAUAUUUAGCUCUUGUGUUUCUUGAAAAAGUCGUGACGUGUUGCUUUUGGAAAUCUUUUAGGCAAUUGAAUGAGAUUUCCUACAGGUCUUCAGGCCUGGGUGUGUCUGGUGCUUAACUCAUAAUCACAAGAAUUCUUGAUUCAACACGGGAGCAAUGACUAGUGGUGGACAGCUUUUUCUCUAAUAAAUGAAAUCCUAAUUGCAUUUCCUCUUUACUUGGUUACCUUUGUCUGAUUUUAAAAUACUGAUGUGAAACAUUUACUGGUGACAAAAAAGUCAAAACAGGAGGAAACACCAGCAAAAAGUUUGGACGGUGUGACAUAAUUGUUCCAGGAGAGAUCUGAUUCAGAACAUCCCAGACAACUGAACGAAUCACGUGGUGCAAAUUCUGUCAGGUUAACACAGGAAAUGACAUCUGAGCAAAACGCACAUGGUGUAAAUAACACAGUUUGGGUCUGAGCAUCAGUCAGCACCACGAUGAGGAAAACACCAGCAUCCAUCUAUUCCUCCUGCUUGCGUCUCAGCAGCAAAGUCUGCUGACUGAAGCAAGAAUGCAUCGAAUCAAAAAACCUUCAAAUGAAGCAAAACACAAAUCCAUUUUAUUUUCACUUUUGCACGCGCAGGCCCUCGCCAUACGGCCUGUGCACAGUUUUCUGUCUCCAACAUGACAUGUCAGAUGGCCGUGUUGAUGACGAGCCUCGUGGAGGGAAAGCCAGCCCCUGCUACGGUGAAAGACCAUCAGUGGACCUGAACGGCACCGAUCAAUGCGGAGCCGAACCGUUAACGGCAAAUUAGCGGACGCUGCCGCACAGGGAUUACGGUCUACGUAUGUGUGUCUUCUAAAAAGGCGGACGGAGAACAAAGAAUACGACCUCUGUUUCCUCAGAUAUCCCCGCAGAAUGCACCAAAGAGCGCUUCUUUAUGCGGAUUUGUUAGGAUUUUUCUUCGUUGUCAUAAUUAAUGCUGAUUUAGCCUGCUGACAGGCGUGUGCGCGUUUACAGUCGCACCAAAUUACAAAUCGCAGUUCAUUUAAAGAACGCACAAACACGCGCACGCACAUCUGGGAUGGAUGGAGCACAAGAUCCGGGCAGGUCCUUGGUGAGGGAGUAGUGGGCUACAGUGGCAAGGUCACAAGCGUCGUGCAAAAGGAAAACAGUGCGCGUAAACAGAAUCAACAAUCCGGUCACCUGUUUGUGCUUGAAGCCGCCUUCCUCCGCCGCCGAGGAAACCCCGCAGGCCCCGGCUGCUCCGAUGCCUUUUGUGUUGCUGAUGCUGCGGGUACCCGACGCGAGACGGUCCCGCACAGCUGUACGCGUGCGAGACGGAGAUGGAGAAAGAGAGAAGGGAGGGCGUGGCUGGAGGAGCACCGCGCGGCGCCGCGCGUCACGAUCCGAGCGCGGGAGUGAGAGAGCGCGCGCGCUCGUCUCAACUCACAGAAGAAGAAGAAAGAUGAAUGGAAACGCAGCGGUCAUCCCAGGAGGCUAAUUCAACAACGGAGCUUAUUUCCACAGGGAUGAACUAAUCACUUCCUGCUGCAUGAGCUCAAAUGUUCUGUUUUCAAAUCUAAAUGAUUUAGAAUAAAUCUAAACAUUUAUGGUUAAGCUACAUGUUUGUGUGUAAAGCUGCUCAGAUUGCAGUAAAACAGAAGCAAAUGACCAAAAUAAAAGCAGGGUGAUGAUCUCUAACGAGUCCCUUUGAUUUUCAGAUAGACUGCAUGAGUGUGAUCAUGUUCCAGAGACAACAGGAACACUGACGCACCGAAGGAGAUACAUGCUGCUGCUUUUUUAAAGCAAUCCAAACACACACUGGCUUAAUACAACGUUUAAAACCCCUUCAAAUUUGAGAUAACUUUAAAUUGUCUUAAUUCUGAUACUUCAAUUUGGAAAACCACUCCCCACACCGUGGAGGCCAUGGCCAGCUCCUGAGACAUCCAAGAUGUAAAACCAAACUGAGUUCUUCAUUCCCAUUGCAGUAGACUCCAUAGCUGUUAUAACAGCUGUUAUAACUACCGUCACUAUCCUGUUACUCAAUUACAUCACAGAUAUACGUGUGAAAUACCCAGAUACACGUUUUAUGUCUGUCUUUAUGCAGUUUCUUCGUGGAAACUCAACUUUUACUCCAUUUUUAUUCUUUUUUUAGUGCUAAAGGUUAGCAGCCUGUGUGUAUUGUUUUUUUCCUAUUCUCUAAGUGUAUAAGCUGCAUUGACAACUGAAUUUCUCCACUGUGGGAUCAAUAAAGUCUAUUCUAUUCUGA